GCGAACGGGUGAGUAACGCGUAGGUAACCUACCUCAUAGCGGGGGAUAACUAUUGGAAACGAUAGCUAAUACCGCAUAACAGUCAUUAACACAUGUUAGAGACUUAAAAGGGGCAAGAGCUUCACUAUGAGAUGGACCUGCGUUGUAUUAGCUAGUAGGUAGGGUAAAGGCCUACCUAGGCGACGAUACAUAGCCGACCUGAGAGGGUGAUCGGCCACACUGGGACUGAGACACGGCCCAGACUCCUACGGGAGGCAGCAGUAGGGAAUCUUCGGCAAUGGGGGGAACCCUGACCGAGCAACGCCGCGUGAGUGAAGAAGGUUUUCGGAUCGUAAAGCUCUGUUGUUAGAGAAGAACGUGUGUGAGAGUGGAAAGUUCACACAGUGACGGUAACUAACCAGAAAGGGACGGCUAACUACGUGCCAGCAGCCGCGGUAAUACGUAGGUCCCGAGCGUUGUCCGGAUUUAUUGGGCGUAAAGCGAGCGCAGGCGGUUCUGUAAGUCUGAAGUUAAAGGCAGUGGCUUAACCA
rnacentral:rRNA from 1 species